UCUCUUAAAAGAAAGUCUGGAAUCAGUAAAACAUAUGGACAAGUUUAGUUUUGAAUCAAUGGGUUUCCUAAUACAAAAAUCUAAAAAUAAACUUAUAAUUGCAUGGCAAAAAAUUUUUAUUCUGGCUUAUCAACAUAAUAUCAAAAUUAAUAAAUGGCUGCACAAAUGAACGACUUGAUAAUGGCCCCAACAAAACAAAACUGGGCUUCAUCAUGCCACACUAAAACAAAAGGUAUUUUGAAGCUUCACUUAAACAUAUCAGUGUAAGAAAAGAACUCUGAACCCACAGGAGGAAUUUUGUAUUAAUUAAAAGAAGGAUUGCCAUGGUGUUAGUUCAAAGAACGCUGAAAUGUGGAUAUAAGUGACUGUCUUUGGGAAUAAUUGUUAUCUGUGAAACGAUGCCGCAUGUAAGGGAGGAGGAGUCCUGCGGAAAACAACUAUGGGCAGAGAUAUUUGCUGUGAAGGGAAGCGGCGACUUCAUGCAAUGGAAGAGGGUCUCGGAAGACGUUGUCCCUAUCAACAUCACAUGCAUCGAGGACACGCCAAAAACUGUCUUCCAGGUGACCGCGUAUAACAAACAUGUGGAAAAGAUAUUCGACAUAAAGAUCGUUCAACCAGGUACAAUUCUCUGCCCUGCAACUGACAGCUUUGUCCACUGGCGUGACCAGGGCAAUGGUAGCGAAUGGGGGCUCAACUUCACCACGCCCGCUGAUGCCAAGCGUUUCCGUGACUGUUGUUCAGUGACCACACAGAAGUAUGUAAGGAAGGCGUCAUCAGCGAACUCUCUGAGACUGAGUCCUCCAAAGGGUAAAGGGAAGGCAGAAUCCUCCCCCAAUUCCCCCAUACACGACACACAACGAGCGGUCUCAAGUCCGUACGAUUUAAACACAGUAGAGCCUUGUGAAUGCAUUACGCCCUCUGGUGACCAUGACUUGUACAACAAGUCUGACAAAGCUGCAACUAUCCCUCGAGCACAGUCUAACUCAGGCUCCAAAUCUCAACCUAGGAGCAUUUUGAAGUCGUCCACUAUGUCCUCCUCAGUGACGUAUGAUCGUGACAGUUCUGAACCUCAGUGUGGAAAUGUUGGUGCAAAUAGUUCGGAACACUACCAUGGUACCCGGUCUGCGUCUGCAGGACCGUUGUCAGGGGAGGGAGUUCUGUUUGACUCGGGAACCAGACAGUCUGCUUUUGGUUCCUUCAGACGGCCGACAUCAAAAACAGCAGAGAACAUAUGUGUAGAGACUGCUUUCAUUGGCAGAGUGGACGACCCCCGUAACAUCGAAGCAGAAAAUGGAAGAAAAAGUGUUACCAUAGCAACACAGCAUACUGAGAAUGAGUACGAGGUAACCAGUCCUGUAGAAAACGAGAAUGAAAAUCACAGCACUGGUGUUACUGUUCACAAGGACUGCAUUCGAAUACUGGCGCCUCAGCCUCAGAGGUUGUUACCAGACUCCCCCCGGGGUUCUCGGCACUCGGAAUCUCCGGAAUGGCCUUCACCCCCCGAACCUUUGACCCCUCAGACUCCACUUACUCCCACCUACCACCUCGAGUUUGACAGUGACUCAAUCAAAAGAAUGCUAGAGAAUCUACCCAUUUCACCUGAUGCGAUUUCUAUGACUGGAAGUAUGCACGAGAACGAUCAAGGGUUUCACGAUGAUUCAAGAGGGAAUUGCAAGGUCAGCGAAAAAUUGAGCAGUGGUAAUGAAAAUAGUGAGUGUUGUGGUGCAGAAGAAAUGUUUAGUGGUGAAUACAAAGGCCACUGUGGUGGGAAUGUUAACCAGUCUAAAUGUGUGAAUAAGGCGUCAGACUGUGACAGAGGCUCUCGGGAUGGAGUCCGUGAUAGUUUUGGACGGGAUUCGAAUCCAGACUCAGGCAUCGGAGGGAUGACAGGAGAUGGGACAGUGUCAGUUCUGUCGGGGGGAAGCCCCAACCAGUCAGGCUUGGAUUUGUCCCGCACUGAGCUGAAGGGGGGGUCCACAGGGGCCAGUAGCCAUGGUAGCAACUCCAGUCACAUGAGUCAGAGCGACCUCAUCAGUCAGUUUGCAGACGGACAGUUCCUGGCCGCAGAGAUGUCAGAUGAAGACGCAGGCAGCAAUGACAGCAUCCACACUGUGACUGAGGCAGAGAGUCAGUUCUCCUAUGCCAAACAACACGGCGCCAUACGCAAGGCAGGGUGGCUGGUGGUGAAGAACUGGCUGGUGCAGAAGAAGAGGAAGUUGGAGCUGGCUCCCAGACGCACAUGGAAGAAGUACUGGGUCUGCUUGAAGGGAACCGUCAUACUUUUCUAUGAUGGGGACAUGGACAAUGUGACCCUUGACGACAAUGUUCCCAGACACAUGCUAGUUAUCGAAGGUGGGAUUUCCCAAGGCGUCCCAGAACAUCCCAAGCGGGACUUCAUAUUCUCCCUAAGUACUUCAUUUGGGGAUGCAUAUUUGUUUCAGGCAUCUAGCCAGACCGAGCUGGACUCGUGGGUAUGUGCAAUACACUCAGCAUGUGCGGGCUCGUUUGCAAGGCAGCAUGGGAAGGAAAACAUUGUACGUCUGCUCAGAUCUGAACUACACAAACUGGAAACAAACAUCGACAUUGAUGUAAAAAUGCGGAAAAUGGCAGAACUCCAGUUGACGGUUGUGUCUGACCCGCGCAGUCGACAGGCCAUUAUCAAACAGAUCAACCAAUGGGAGGAGAAUUUGGAGAAGCUAUUUAUAGAACAGUACCGUCUGCGAUGUUACUCCUCCUCCAUCCAAGGCUCUGAACUUCCCAAUCCAAAGGUGCUACUUGCAAACGUGUCCAAGACCUCAAAAGGAACUCUGAGUCGACUGGGAAUCUUCACAGUUUCUUCAUUCCAUGCUCUUGUGUGCGCGCGUAAGCCCCUCGUUAUGCCGAGCCUGUACGGGAAGGGGCAGCAGAAAGGGGGGCUGCUGUCCCCUAGAGGGGACGGGAUGUUCAAAUACCACACCAUGAGGCCGACCUCAUCCAGUGCUAACCAGAGCAUGUACAAAGCCUCAGAGCUGGAUGAGGUGGUGGGAGACUUGAUUAGUAAGGACAGCAGUGGCAGCCAAUCCCCUUGCGGCUCUACCGGCUCUAGUGAAGUCCUCUCCAAGGUGGCAGUGCCUAACAAUCAGAGUGUGACGAUGGGCAUCAAGAAGUCAACGACAGCAGAAGACGUUUUGCUGACGGUAUGCAGCAGACGACAACUCAACCCUCGCGACCACUAUGUCCGCGUCAGACUGCAGGGGGCACCAGAGGGCAGCUACCAGUACCCCGAUAGGAAGGAAAAUAUCAGGAAACUUCGCUGUGAACUAGUGGAAGUUUGUCAGAAGUACAUGUAUCGGGUAGAAUUAUCAAAAUGCGAGAAGCACAGAGACUUUGGUCUAAAAAUAGAAGCAGAACUGGCAGAAGAUUUUGAUAAGGAAGAUGAUUUGAGAAUCUACGUCACAGAAGUUCGACCCAGCAGCCUGUCUGAUCAGAAAGGGAUGCGAGCCAGCGACGAGAUUGUGAUCAUCAAUGGUAAGAUCGUCUCCGACCUUGACAUGGUGUACGUGGAGCAACUUCUCACCGAGUCAACCUCCAUAUGCUUCACCGUUCGCUCCAUGUUCCAGCCCAGCGGGGCUGUUACUAUGGAAACCCCGCCCUCGCUACCUCCCCCACCCACCCAGUCACGCAUCAGUGACAACAGUAUUGAAUCUCUGAAGAUACCACCACCCUCGACAGGAAGUACCUCUAGCUCUGUGAACACGAGCUGUACAAGUUCUCCGCACCACUCUCAAACUGGAAACAAGAUUCAAUCAAGCACAGAUCAGGUGGAUGCUCUCCUACAGGGUGCAGACCAGGUGACAGCCAUAUGCAGGGAGCCAGGUGAGGAGGUUGUCAAUAGCAACCGGCAGCUGUCAGAGGUGGAGAGGUUACACAAGGUCAUCAAGGAGCUCGUAAACACGGAGGAGGCGUACGUCAAUGACUUGAAUUGUCUACUGAAACGCUUCUUAGAGCCUUUGAAGGAGGAAAGCUUUCUGACAUCAGAUGAGAUUGAUCACAUCUUUGGCAACAUUCAGGAAAUAGCCGUGUUUCAGCGACAGUUUUUACAGAGUCUAGUCGAGUCCAUCGGUCAUGACAGUGAAUUUCUCACUGGAGCAGACAUGAAAAGCUACAGGCGGGUCCUGUUCUCCCUGGGAGGGUCUUUCCUAUUCUACGCCAAUCACUUCAAAGUCUACAGCUCCUUCUGUGCAAGCCACUCCCGAUCUCAGAAAAUAUUGAACCCAGACACAAUCAACGAGAAGUUAAAAGAGUUCCUGAUAGCGCGAAACCCAAAGCACCAGCACUCUGCCACGCUGGACUCCUACCUGAUCAAGCCCAUACAGCGAAUACUCAAAUACCCGCUGCUCCUUCAGCAGCUGUGUAAUCUCACGGACCCCGAGUCUGACGAGCAUCACCACUUGUCAGAGGCGAGGAAAGGGAUGGAGGCGGUGGCAGAACAUAUCAACGAGAUGCAGAAGAUCUAUGAGGAAUACGGUGCAAUAUUUGACGACCUUUCCAAGAUGUUCAAGGACAUUUAUCCUCUGAAAACUCCUGCAGACCUGAGUGUAGGCGAGCUGCAGAUGUAUGGCACGGUGGAGUGGUGUAACGUCACAGACAGUCUGGGCAAGGUCAAGAAAGGGACAGAACUGGAGAGCACCGUGUUUGUCUUCAAGACUGGAGUAGUCUUCCUUUGUCGGGAAAGGUUGAAACGAAGAAAAUCUAAAGGGGUACAUAUGAAUGGCUUUGGGGCCAGCGCUGCUCGCGGUCUGUUCAGUGAGAGUUACGACACGGCAGAGAGAUUCCGUACGUUGAUUCCCGUGCAGGAUGUCCAGGUGCGCAUUGGGAAGGUCGGCGAUAUGGAUGGGCACUUCUGGUGGGAGCUCGUACACUCACGCUGUGACACUGAGGCUAGACCAGAACGGGUCUACCAGUUCUGUAAUAGUACUUUGGAAGCAAAAACGGACUUUAUGAGGAUAAUACGUCAGACAAUUCGUGACUGUGUUCGUAAGAUGAACUUGCCAUCAAGUGGUAGCAGCUCGAGUAAAAAUAAAUACAUUCCAUGCGGUGGCAAACGCCUUGAGGCUUUACAGACUAAUUCCCGUAGCACCUUAAGUAAGAAACGUAAUAACUCUAAUGGUAAAACAGAUGUGGAGAGACAUUCAAUGGAGCUUGAAGAGAAGUUUAAAAUUGACGAAGAAGGCGUGUUCAGAAUGCGAAGCAAAACAGUUGGCGAUUUGAACGAAAAUCUCAGUGAGUCUGAGGAAAAUGAAGCAGAGUUUGUGUGAGAGAGUGUAAUGUACAGAAAUCUCAUCGGCAUGAUAUGGUACAACGAAGGGCCAGUUUUCCUCGUGCAAGUGACUUUGUUAACUUAAACGUGUUACCGGAAGACUGCAGCCCGGUUUGACUCACGUGUUCGGAACUUAUGCGUGUGUAGAACACAGUCAGUGAGGGCAUGUUCAUCAGACAUGACCGAGGUCCGAUAUUGUGUAUGUCAACGAAGAUUGUCUCAAUUAAAGAGGAAGUAAUCAACAGUAAUAUGAAAACUUGAAUGGCAAGAACUGGUAAUCAGUAAGAACAUACGAGCAUAUUCAAGUUGCAGUGUGUGAUGAACGCGAACGUUGUCACAGGCAGUUUUGAAAUAAGAGAACAAUGUUCUUUGGGGGUUUUAGGGUGUGAAUGGCUGACAACGUUCUUUAAUGGAUACGUUGUACAUAAUGGUAUACACAGUUGGUUAAUAGUAGAAACUUCAAGUGAUUCCCCGAUCAACGGACAACCCCAUCUCUUGCACAUUGUGGACAUACGGUACCUGUUGUAAAAAAAUACGUUUAUGCACCUGUGUACAUAAACCUCUGUGUGUGGUGUUGUGUGGUAAAGCUACAUAUGAUGACACGAGUAUGCGCAUUGUUAACUUUUCUUUCACUAAAUUAUAUUGGUAAACGAGUAUGAGUCGUUAGUAGACAGUGUUACAUGCACGAGUGCUAGAACACUCAUGUAAGCAUCCUUUUGUUUGCAUAAUUCCGUAAUGAUAAGAUAGGUAUGUGUCCUUGUGCAAUACCAGAGUUAUAUCAAUAUAUAGUUUUUACAAUAGUUAUGACCAAACUAAACAUCAAUAACAGACACUUUGGUAUUAUAAGAAAGCUUUGCGUGAUGUUAAUCACGGGUUAGCGCCAAUCUCAAACUGGUUCCGGGAAUGGCGUUUGCCUGUUAGUAAUAAAUGCAACUUAAAGCACGUGAAUUUAGAAUGUAUUGGUAUUCAUAUCGAAUGGAAAGGCACAUAGAGCGGGUGUACCUAUUUCCGAACACUUAAGCCACUUAUAAUGAUGUUCGGAAUUACGAUCACUUUCGAUCAAAGGGAGACAAUAAUCAACUAGAUAUGUGCAUAUGAUAUAUUUUAGUCCAAUAUAGAAUUAUAUAAUGGUCCAACCAAAAAGAAAUUAUUUACAAAGCAUGCGGACAUCCAACUGUUCCUUAUUCCGAACAUAAGUUCGUAAUUCCGAACCGAAGUGUUCGUAAUUCCAAACAUGAUGACCUUUUUAAAAUAAAAAUCCCGAUGAUUCCAUUUAAUUGACACAGUUUGAAAAUACCAACUUAGAAACAAGUUCUGUAAUAAAAACGAUUACAUGUAAGUUCGAUAAAUGACAAGGUCGUUAAAAAAAGUAAUAUAGAGCAAUAGAUCUGGAGGUUGCGGUAAAUUUAUAUUUUUAAAAACGUAAACGAAACAAGGAUAUUAAUACGCAUUUAGAUACUUAACAGUUAUUCACGCCCUUUGUCCAGACAUAUUCAACUCUUUUACCUUUUUACCGAACUUUUCAUAUACCAAACUCACUGUCAAUUAGUGAAAAUGCAAAGAACACUGUAAUCCAUUACCACAAUAGGCUUUUUGUUAUUUAUUCAAAUUACACAAAUAAACAUUACAUUUAAAAAGUGAAUUGUGGGACUGACGGAUAAAAUUACAUACGAAUAUUUUGGCGAAAAUCAACCAGUCUCUAUUCAAACCAGGCAGCGUUAAUGUAAGAAGUCGCGUUGAUGUCAUCCACAAGUGUGAAACAUAAUUUUAGUGAUGUUACGUUUAUAAUUUCGGUAACUUGAAACGAAUGAAUGUAUCAUUUUAAGUCCCCAAUAUUUAAUGCUUAAUGGCAUGAGCAUUAAAUACAUAUUAGCUAUCUAAAUACAGACAUCAGUUAAUUUGAUACUCAAUGCAAGUGAUUUCGUUCCAAAUAAUUAUUUUAUGUCUAUUUUACUCAUUUCAUAUUUCAAAUAUAGAUUCUAUCUUGCAAAACGUAGUGUUGCAAAACGCACACUUUUAUUUCUUCAAACUUAAUACAGCCGGGAUUCAAUCAUAAAUUUCGUGAAAUUAUGUACAAAAGCAUGAAACUGUAUUCACCCGGUUUUCGGUAAUAAAUCUUGUGACAACAUGUUUUAAAAAUUAUGUGCUCGUUUCGUUGUAGUGCUUCGUUGCACCCUACUUUGGUCCAUGUGAAUUACCGUGUCGCUAAUGUAGACUAACCACAAUAGUUAUAUCACCCCGAUAAGUUAAUGUGUUUUGCGACUCAAUGCGUAAACAUCAUAACCAGACAGAUCCAAAAAUAUAAAAUUGUAAUUCGAAAUAUGAUGCCUUUAGCCAGCCCUCACAAACCCAGUAUUUAUGUGGGUAGGUCAGUAAUAACAUAAAUGCAGCUGCAGAUGUAGAAUAAAAGGAUCAUGACUCUCGUUAUUAAAGGCUUAAAAAAGACCUAGAAUAUUCUAGGUCUUUGGGUUUAAGCAUCAACUGACAGAAAUCAUCGUCGAUGAUAUGCACCAGGGAAUCUUACUGCUCCACGAACGCGCGGAUGAAUAUAUAGAUUUACAGACAGCAGCCUGUAGUAUAAAGAAGUAGUUCAAAUAAGGUUACGCAUGUUCAAACCGGUAAUUCUAACUCAAAGGUUACAACAGUAAGUUUUAAUUUUCGCAUAUGCAAACUUAAGAGUCUAAAGUUAAGAUGCUCUUUUCAGUACCACUGUAACAUAAUUUUGGUUUGCACUAACAGUCAUCAAAACUGCUAUUUGUAUGCGGACCUUGAAUAAAAACCAUCGUCUUUUUCAUGAGAUCUCUUUGGAAUCUAUUGUUUAACUGUUUCUGUUGGUUUUUUGUUGUUGUUAUUUUCCUUUUCUGUACGAUUAAAAAUAUUAAAACUGAAUUUACA